GACUGACGCCGUGUCGAGCAUCCGGCGGAGCCACACGAUGGAUAAGAACACCCUGCACGCCCAGGACAAACCCUAGAUGCUUUCCCCUCACCCUUCGCCAUGCUCUCUCCCUCACAGUACCCCACCGCGCUGCUGCCACCAUGGUCGUCAUCGUCGUCGCGGCCACCGACUUCCCCGGUGCCUGAAAAGCUGUCUAGGAGCAUCCCCACCUUCGUCUCCUUCGACUUCGCCCACCCAAUCGAGUUGAUCCGCCCCGUGUGCUCGCCAUCAAGCACAUCUUCGUCGUGUACAUCGCCGGCUUCCGGCGUCGUUUGCUACUACUCCGGUCCGUCCCCGACCUCUCCGACCCCAUCAUCGAACUCGUGGUGAGCUUCUCCUCUGGAUCCCCUCUUCCCCGGUCUCGAUCCGUGCCGUUGCCGCCGCCCCUGUAGCUCGCCGCGUGCAUGACUUGGUGGCGCUCGCGCCCACCCAAGUCUGGACGCGCUUGCCGCUGCCUGCUAUAGCACCCGCACGCCCCGACCGUGCCCAGCGCUCGUGCGAGCCCCGCCCCGUAUCCCCUGCUCAUCGGCAGUGACUGCGCCCCGCCUCCGUUCACCGCAUCCGCUACGCCUCGCCGCUGCCCGCGGCCGCCGCUCGCGUCCCCGGCCUCUCCUGACCGCAUGUAAGCGCCUGGCCGCGUCCUGGUCACCCCAGCCGUUGCCACCGUCGCUAGCCGCCGCUGUCCGCGUGCGCGACGUCGUGCCUGGCGCUGUUCCCUGCUGCCGCUGCUUGCUUCGCUAGGCUGCUGCUCUGCCGCGUCUACUGUUGUUGCCGUUGCCGUCGCGCUGCUACCGUUCCUCUUCCUCCUACUCUUAACUGUUGAUGCCGAUGUGUGCUGCCACCGCUUGCUGAUGAUGCUGCUUGUCUGCCAGCGCCGCCGCCCGCCGCUGCUAUGGCUGGCCAUGGCCGUGGCCAUAGCGGCUGUGUGUGAUGUGUGUAUAGCGUGUGUGUGUGUGGCCGGUGUGCCCAAGUGUGUGGGGCUGCCCCAAAGCAGCGUGUGUGUGUGCUGUGUAGGUGUGUGUGUGUGUGUGUGUGUGAUGUGCAUGUAGCGUGUGAGUGUGCGCCCAUGUGUGUGUGUGGCCGGCUGCAUCUCUGGAUGAGACCAGGCCAUGUUUAGGUUAGUAGCUAAUUAGUAGUUAGGCUAAUGAGUGGUUAGGUGUAGUGUACAUGACAUGUGGACCCUAUUGUUAAAAAAAAGAUAAGUUAGAUUAAAAAUAUCUAAGCCUAUUACAUGUGGGUCACACCUCUCCUUUUGACUAGUCAAAUUUGACUUGAUCAAUUCGGAUUAAACUAAAUACAAAAAUCUAAGAAAAUGAUUAAAACUUUUAAAAAACAUAGAAAAUAAACCGUAGCUCAGAUAAAAAUGUUUUGUACAUGAAAGUUGCUCAGAACGACGAGACGAAUCCGGAUACGCAGUCCGUUCGUCUGUCACACAUCCCUAGCACAGCGAACACGCAACUUUCCCCCUCCAGUUCAUCUGUCCGAAAACGCGAAACACCGGGGAUAUUUUCCCGGAUGUUUCCCCCUUCGCCGGUACCACCUCAUACCGCGUUAGGGCACCCCUAGCACCGAUACUUGUUAUGUCAUGCAUCGAUAUGCAUCUGUUUGCUUAAUAUUUAUUGUUUCUUCCCCCUCUUCUCUCGCUAGACACCGAGACCGACGCCGCUGCUACCCAGUACAACUACGGUGUUGACGACCCCUCUCUCUUGCCAGAGCAACCAAGCAAGCCCCCCCCUUGAUCACUAGAUAUCGCCUACUCUUCUCUAUAUUGCUUGCAUUAGAGUAGUGUAGCAUGUUACUGCUUUCCGUUAAUCCUAUUCUGAUGCAUAGCCUGUCAUUGUUGCUACAACUGUUGAUACCUUACCUGCCAUCCUAAAUGCUUAGUAUAGGAUGCUAGUUUAUCAUCAUUGGCCCUACAUUCUUGUCCGUCUACCAUGCUAUACUAUCGGGUCGUGAUCACUCGGGAGGUGAUCAUGUGUUUAUACUUAUACAUAUAUACAUGCUAUACAGGUGGUGACUAAAGUCGGGUCGGCUCGUUGAGUACCCGCGAGUGAUUCCAAUGUUGGGGGCUGAAGGGGCAGGUGGCUCCAUCCCGGUAGAGGUGGGCCUGAGUUCCCGAAGGCCCCCGACUGUUACACUGUGGCGGAGCGACAGGGUAGGUUGAGACCACCUAGGAGAGAGGUGGGCCUAGCCCUGGUCGGCGUCCGUGGUUAUUUCAAAAUAACACGCUUAACGAGAUCUUGGUAUUUGAUCUGAGUCUGACUACUAGCCUAUACGCACUAACCAACUACGCGGGAACAGUUAUGGGACUCGACGUCGUGGUAUCAACCGAAGCCUUCUUGAUGUCAGCGACUGAGCGGCGCGCGCCGGGUUGGACCACGUAAGGCAACUUCCUUUGUAAUGGAGGUUGCUAGGUCUGCUCUCCGGUCGCGUUCGCAAUGUGCAGGUGUGCAAAGGGCGAUGGGCCCAGACCCCUGCGCCACAGGAUUUAGACCGGCGUGCUGACCUCUCUGUUGUGCCUAGGUAGGCUUGCGACGUGUUGAUCUUCCGAGGCCGGGCAUGACCCAGGAAAGUGUGCUCGGACAAAGGGGAUCGAGCGUGUUGGGAAAUGUGGUGCACCCCUGCAGGGAAGUUAAUCUAUUCGAAUAGCCGUGAUCUUCGGUAACAGGACGACUUGGAGUUGUACCUUGACCUUAUGACAACUAGAACCGGAUACUUAAUAAAACACACCCUUCCAAGUGCCAGAUACAGCCGGUGAUCGCUCUCUCACAGGGCGACGAGGGGAGGAUCAUCGGUUAGGAUUAUGCUGCACGAUGCUACUUGGUGAACUUACCAUCUACUCUCUUCUACAUGCUGCAAGAUGGAGGUGGCCAGAAGCAUACUCUUUGAUAGGACUAGCUAUCCUCCUCUUAUUUCGUCAUUCUGCAGUUCAGUCCACAUAUGAUACCCUUCCAUUUGAUACCAAUGCAUACAUUUGUAGUGUAGCUCCUUGCUUGCGAGUACUUUGGAUGAGUACUCACGGUUGCCUUGCUCCCCCUUUUCCCCCUUUCUAUACCCGAUUGCUGCGACCAGACGUUGGAGUCCAGGAGCCAAACACCACUGUCGAUGACGACUACUACUACUCGGGAGGUGCCUACUACUACGUGCAGCCCGCUGACGACGACCAAGAGUAGUUUAGGAGGAUCCCAGGCAGGAGGCAUGCGCCUCUUUCGAUUUGUAUCCCAAUUUGUGCUGGCCUUCUUAAGGCAAACUUGUUUAACUUAUGUCUGUACUCAUAUAUUGUUGCUUCCGCUGACUCGUCUAUGAUGGAGCUCUUGUAUUCGAGCCCUCGAGGCCCCUGGCUUGUAAUAUGAUGCUUGUAUGACUUAUUUUAGUCGUAGAGUUGUGUUGUGAUAUCUUCCCGUG
rnacentral:lncRNA from 1 species